rnacentral:lncRNA from 13 species
CUAGGACAGCAGAGUCCCUGCCCAUCUUCCCCCUGAAGCUAGGACAGCAGAGUCCCUGCCCAUCUCCCCCCUGAUGCUGGGACAGCAGAGUCCCUGCCCAUCUUCCCCCUGAUGCUGGGACAGCAGAGUCCCUGUCCAUCUUCCCCCUGAAGCUAGGACAGCAGAGUCCCUGCCCAUCUUCUGAAAACAUCUGAAACGCUACCUCUUCAAAGAGCAUCUUAAAUAAUUCCACAGCAGCCACCACUGGCACCAGCUCCUCACCCCCACCCCAAAAAAGCCAUUGGUGAACUAACACUCGUGCUUGACUUCGCUGAGGAAAAAUGUACUGACUGAUGUGUGGUUUACCACCGAGCUACCUGGACAUGAAUGCACUGAAGAGCAAGUUGCUCUGGAUAAAAGAGCCUCUCCUAAAUUACUAAAACAAAAACAUUUAAAAUGGUUCCACUCCUGACAAACACAGACAGACCACCAUCAGGAUAACAUCAAACAGACCAUCAGGAUGACAUCACACAGACAUACCACCAUCAGGAUGACAACACACAGACCAUCAGGAUGGACAACACACAGACAGAGACCAUCAGGAUGGACAACACACAGAGAGAGACCAUCAGGAUGGACAACACACAGACAGAGACCAUCAGGAUGGACAACACACAGACAGAGACCAUCAGGAUGGACAACACACAGACAGAGACCAUCAGGAUGGACAACACACAGACAGAGGCCAUCAGGAUGGACAACACACAGACAGAGGCCAUCAGGAUGGACAANACACAGACAGACCACCAUCAGGAUAACAUCAAACAGACCAUCAGGAUGACAUCACACAGACAUACCACCAUCAGGAUGACAACACACAGACCAUCAGGAUGGACAACACACAGACAGAGACCAUCAGGAUGGACAACACACAGAGAGAGACCAUCAGGAUGGACAACACACAGACAGAGACCAUCAGGAUGGACAACACACAGACAGAGACCAUCAGGAUGGACAACACACAGACAGAGACCAUCAGGAUGGACAACACACAGACAGAGGCCAUCAGGAUGGACAACACACAGACAGAGGCCAUCAGGAUGGACAAC